CAACAACAAAAUCAUCAAAUCGGGUUGGCAUGCGUCGUUCUCUCUGUGGUCGAUUGGAUGUCUCAACCUAAAUAGCGGAAGAUGAAGGAUCACCAAGAGGCUGCACAACUUGCUCCACUGCUUGCUUAUCAGCACUUGGUCCCAUAAUGGGAGAAAUGGAUGGGUGCUUUGGUGAUGUCUCGGGAUCUUGUUUGGACCAAUUCCAAGCUCCAUGUUCAUCAAAAAUCACAUCUCUGCUAACAAUCACAUUUCCUGUGUUUGGAUUGAAUAACUUAUACCCCUUUGUCUCAUGACUAUAUCCAAUAAAAAUACACUUCU
rnacentral:lncRNA from 1 species